rnacentral:rRNA from 1 species
GAUGAACGCUGGCGGCGUGCCUAAUACAUGCAAGUCGAGCGAACAGACGAGGAGCUUGCUCCACUGACGUUAGCGGCGGACGGGUGAGUAACACGUGGAUAACCUACCUAUAAGACUGGGAUAACUUCGGGAAACCGGAGCUAAUACCGGAUAAUAUAUUGAACCGCAUGGUUCAAUAGUGAAAGACGGUUUUGCUGUCACUUAUAGAUGGAUCCGCGCCGCAUUAGCUAGUUGGUAAGGUAACGGCUUACCAAGGCAACGAUGCGUAGCCGACCCGAGCGGGUGAUCGGCCACACGGGAACUGAGACACGGUCCAGACUCCUACGGGAGGCAGCAGUAGGGAAUCUUCCGCAAUGGGCGAAAGCUUGACGGAGCAACGCCGCGUGAGUGAUGAAGGUCUUCGGAUCGUAAAACGCUGUUAUUAGGGAAGAACAAAUGUGUAAGUAACUAUGCACGUCUUGACGGUACCUAAUCAGAAAGCCACGGCUAACUACGUG